UAAAAGUUACAGAGAUAACAUACUCAGACAAACAGCAACUCACAAAAUUAUUGUUUUACUGUUGUACAGGUCCACAUGACCAGAUGUUCACUUCAUAUACGUGUGAAGUUCGUCUUGUCGGCAAGCUCAAGAUUCAUUUGACAGGAUGCAAAGCAGUACAGCUGUUGGGUGCUCUUGCUGCAAUGUUGCUGAUACGAACUGGUACUUGAGAAGCCCACUCGCAUCGUCCGAGCAUCUCAUGCAUAUACAACAAGGACUCCCUGAUCACAGCCAAACUGAUGAGGCAAUGCUGCAGAGGACGAGGACAUAAACGUGUUGCUAGCCCUACACUACUUCUUGAAAGUGGAUGCGGCUUAGCGGUCGCUCCAUGUCCAUGGCGUUUUCAAGCCCAAAUGUCGCGCCACGGUGGAGCAUCGCCAGGACGGGCAUGGCGCUGGCUCAGUGAAGCUCACUGAUACUAAUUUGUGGAGUUAACUUCUCUAUUUGUGAAUUUCUUGUGUCCUGAUACUUCAAUUUAGACUAUUCCCACAAGAUGGAUUUUUAUUUGAGUCUACUAGAUGGAUUGUUUGUGAAGUUCGCUUCUGAUAUUUGCGCUGAUGGGUGGAUGACUUCUGUGUAUUAAUUAUGUGUGAAGUUCACUGUUAUGCAUCU